UACGUAGGGUGCGAGCGUUAAUCGGAAUUACUGGGCGUAAAGCGUGCGCAGGCGGUUUUGUAAGCCAGAUGUGAAAUCCCCGGGCUCAACCUGGGAAUGGCAUUUGGGACUGCAAGGCUGGAGUACGGCAGAGGAGACUGGAAUUCCUGAUGUAGCAGUGAAAUGCGUAGAGAUCAGGAGGAAUACCGAUGGCGAAGGCAGGUCCCUGGGCUGAUACUGACGCUCAUGCACGAAAGCGUGGGGAGCAAACAGG
rnacentral:rRNA from 1 species